rnacentral:lncRNA from 1 species
AGAGGGACCGCGCGGCCCGCCCGGGCCACCUUAGUGUAGACGGACAAGAGAUGUUCCACUCUAGGCCUUUACCGCGACAACCGCUCAACAGCCGCCAACCUCCACGGCCUCGGGACCACCCACCAGACACAAGCUUCUGGGCGCGAUUGGCUGGAAUUGCCCACAGCCGGCCUGCUGGGGCGGGAGCGUCGCUGCGCUUCUAUUUUCAUUGGUCAGCAUUCAUGUCAAUCAAGUACAGAUUUUUUUUUUUUUUUGGCCCUGCUGUCGGUCCGGCCCCCUGGAUUGGCCGGAUACUUUCCCGACUCCUUUGCGCCCGUAGUAGAGUCGCCACGCGAGAGUCAGGCAGGCGAGGCGAGGCUCCACGCGUGACAUGCACGGCGUCGACCGAGGGAAGGGAAAAGGCACAGCACAAGCAGCCUGCUCAGAAUGAGGGAGCAGUUAUUGGGGAACCAGAUCUGCGAAAAGAUGUACAAUUGUGGGUGGCCGGUGCACCUGAGAAACUGAAAUCCAAAGGCGACAUCUUUAUUCUUAGCUCAGUAAGGACCAAGCUAAGCGUUCUUCCCCCGUACUACUCUCCAGGUGACUUUAAGGCAGACUGGAUUGUGGAUUAGGCUUUUCAUUUUGUUGUUUUGUUAGGUCGUUGACAGUGAGACUAUCCAAACCACCCUUUUCUUCUGUGCGAUUGGAAAUGUGUUUGCUUCUGCUUCUCGCUUCCUAAUGCUAGGAAGUGUUUAUGUGCAUCUUGUCUUCACUCCCCACCAAGCCUCUCAAAGUUUACUUACACCAUCAGGCUGCGAGACUGACUGUCUUCAAGGCCAGGGUUCGGUUUACACGAAUAUCGGUACCAAAUAAAAUAUCUGGAACCUAGGUGCUCCAUAAAUACUUGAUACAUGAAAUGGGGGAUUAUUGUAGAAAACGUGGAAACUACUGAGCUAACCUGCAGUGCUUAUCGGUAUAAGUACAAUAAACUGGGACUAGGAAUUAGAAACGGCAAAUAUUGUAUGUAAGCUUGUGUGUGAAGGAAAGACACAAUGUAAUUGGCAGUGCGUGUUGGCCUGGAGUAUAGAUAGGAAUUUGGACAAGUAAAGAGGAAAGAGCCUGGCGUGGUGGCGCACGCCUCAAUCCCAGCACUCGGGAGGCAGAGGCAGGCAGAUUUCUGAGUUCGAGACCAGCCUGGUCUACAAAGUGAGUUCCAGGACAGCCAGGACUACNNNNNNNNNNNNNNNNNNNNNNNNNNNNNNAGGCAGAUUUCUGAGUUCGAGGCCAGCCUGGUCUACAAAGUGAGUUCCAGGACAGCCAGAGCUAUACAGAGAAACCCUGUCUCGAAAAACCAAAAAAAUAAAUAAAUAAAUAAAUAAAUUUCACAUGCUUCUAGAAAGUGAAAUAAAGAAGAAAUUAUUACUUAAAGUUAAUACUUUAAAGAAGGUUUUAAAUAGACCGGCAAGCUAGUGCAUUGCUUAAAAGUGCUUCUCAUGCAAGCCUGAUGAGGGAAGUCGGAUUCUCAUGCCCUGCAAUCCCACUGGAAACCCACUGCGGGAAAAGAGAACCAACCUCAAACAGUUGUCUUCUGACCACCACACAUGUGCCAUGGCUGUGGCCCACAUGCACACACACAAUAAUUACACACACAAUAAUUACAAUAAUUACAGUUGAUAUUUAAAUUUAAAUUAUUUCAAAGAAAAUAAAAUAACUAAAAGUAACCAAAAGUUGGAAAACUGAAUUUGGUCAAUAUAGACAAAAGUAAUCAAAUAAAAUUCUAUUUCUACAACUAAAACAUAUUUGAUCCACUUGGAUUUUUGUGCAAGUUUUUUUUUUAAGAUUCUUGAGCUAAUUUCUGUGCUUUAAAUUCAAUGUAUGAUAAUUAUAAUUUUUUAUUUUGUAGCAAAGGUAACUAACAAAACAACUUCAGCAUGCUAAAACCUUUUGCAGACACUCAAAUUCAUUGGCCUUUAGCUGCUUCUUCCACCUUGUCUGAGAAGCUACGAAGACAACAUGCCUACCCUGCUGUUUUUCUUUUAAAGUCAUAAAAUAGCCUUCAAAAAGAAACCUGGGAACCUCAAUGGAACAAAGGCGAGGAAUUGAUUUGGAUUAACAGAAAGCACACUCAUCUUCAAAGCUUCCAGAGUGGGGGAUGGCAUUACUCAUACCUAGGUCGGAAUCGCAAGACCCUGAGCAAAGGACUUAUACAGUGCUAUACCUGCAUACCUAAUCUGUAGAAAUGUGGCAUCAUCAGUGAUGUUUCAACCUACCAAGCUUAUAGAAUUUGUCCUAGAAGCAAUAUUAAGUGAAAACAUUUCACAACUUGUGAUGGAUUACUUAUGCUUGGGCCAAGGAAUGGCACUAUUAAGAGGUGUGGCCUUCUUGGAGUAGAUGUGUCACUGUGGGUAUGGGCUUUAAUGCCCUAGUCCUAGCUGCCUGGAAGUGAGUACUCAGCUAGCAGCCUUCAAAUGAAGAUGUAGAACUCUCAAGUUCUCCAGCACCAUGCCUGCCUGGAUGAGGCCAUGUUCCCACCUUGAUGAUAAUGACUGAAUCUCUGAGCCUGUAAGGCAGCCCCAAUUAAAUACCCUUUAUAGGACUUGCAUUGGUCAUGAUCUCUGUUUACAGCAGUAAAACCCUAACUAAGAUACAAGUCAACAAAAAGAACAAGGAGAUACAAGAAGCCUAAAAAGCUGUUGGCCUGAAACAGAUAGAUGGGCACUGGGAGGAAAACUCUCAAAAAGAAAAAUGAAUAUCAAGCAAUGGAAAUGGAGACAAAGAAGGUCGAUGCAGUCACUGGCAUGGCGAAGACAGUAUUUAUCUCUAUACAGAAAAGCAAAGAUAAUUAGAAAGUUCUUGAAAAAUAAACAAUUUAAUAAGAAUGUCAUUUCUUAAAUAUAUAGUGCACAGGUACUAUUAUUAUGUAGUAAGUUAAAACACUGUAGAAUUAUCAGUGACUCAUAAGUGACUAUUCUGGAGGCUGUGCAUGGAUUAUAGUAGUGUGGUAGGUAGAAUAAUAGCUAAUGCUACAUCUUGGUAUCCUGAAUCCACAAAUAUGGUACCUAGUAAGGAAAAAGAUGUCUACAAGUGUGAUUAGAGUUCAGACCUUGAGAUAUGAGGUUAAAAUGGGUCAUGAGAGUGAACAGAGUCUAAUCACAAUGUCUAAUUCUGACAAGUACAGGAUUUCCCCCACCUGUGAUCAGGGCCAGAAAACUUGGUUUUGAGAACAGAACCAGAGACAUCAAAGGCAUCUCCCUGAGUCAUAGAUGCUAGAAGCUGGACUCUAACAGUGAAGAAUAAAGAUAUCCUGAAAGCAGGAUUGUCAGAGUUAUGAGAAUUUGGCAGAAUGGUUUAUAACUCAAUUGUGCAGUUUGCCCUAGUAAACUUCAUAGAUGACAGUGUUGUUCCCAAUUUCAAAAGGCUAGAUAUGUCUGCUAGACAUUUCCAAAAGAAACCCAGUCUUUCCAAUCAUUUUUUGGCCCAGUGAAACCUGCAGAUAGUGUCUGGCUUUCAAAACUUCAAGCAAACUUGUGUUAAGAUUUGUCACAGCUGCUAUAAAGUACUUUCACAAAGAAUAUGUGAGAGGUGGCUCAAUUAAAUAGUUCAAAUGCCAUUAACUACCACCAAAAUUCUGGAAUAGACCCCUUUCUUGCUUACCAUUUUUGGUUCCAUCAAAUCAGUUUCAGAAGUCACAAGAACAGUCAGAUAUCCAGCAAGCUUCUUAUCGCCUCUGUUACACUUUGGUUUGCUUCCAUUGUGCGUUGGUUAAGAUUAUGAAUUGUAAAGAACAAUUUAAACCACUGCUCACUCAUUCUCAUCUUAAAUUUAUAGUAAAAUUAUUUCAUUUUCUGGUUUGGCAUUGAGGAAACUGUAAAAUGUGUUUGUUGAUUUCCUCCCAACACCACUCAUGAUUUAGGUAUCUUUCUAGUCAAUAAAAAAAUAUAAAUGAUUUAAAAGGUCUGUGCAAUUGAUGAGAGCUGUUUGAUAGUUAUAUUUUCAAGGGAAAAUAUUGAUUUCAACUAAAAAAAUCAAAAAUUGUGAACAAAAUAUUUGAACAUCAAGUUUAGACUUAAAUUCAUAUUUAUUAAAGAAAGUAAAUAAUUGUGUAUAUGC